GCUCAUGUGGCCAAAUGGUUAGAAUGUCCGUUUUGGAUGCGGGAGGUCGUGGGUUCGAUCCCCGACCGAGUC